UUAAGUUAUUAAGGGCGCACGGUGGAUGCCUUGGCACUAGAAGCCGAUGAAGGACGUUACUAACGACGAUAUGCUUUGGGGAGCUGUAAGUAAGCUUUGAUCCAGAGAUUUCCGAAUGGGGAAACCCAGCAUGAGUUAUGUCAUGUUAUCGAUAUGUGAAUACAUAGCAUAUCAGAAGGCACACCCGGAGAACUGAAACAUCUUAGUACCCGGAGGAAGAGAAAGAAAAUUCGAUUCCCUUAGUAGCGGCGAGCGAAACGGGAAGAGCCCAAACCAACAAGCUUGCUUGUUGGGGUUGUAGGACACUCUAUACGGAGUUACAAAGGACGACAUUAGACGAAUCAUCUGGAAAGAUGAAUCAAAGAAGGUAAUAAUCCUGUAGUCGAAAAUGUUGUCUCUCUUGAGUGGAUCCUGAGUACGACGGAGCACGUGAAAUUCCGUCGGAAUCUGGGAGGACCAUCUCCUAAGGCUAAAUACUCUCUAGUGACCGAUAGUGAACCAGUACCGUGAGGGAAAGGUGAAAAGCACCCCGGAAGGGGAGUGAAAUAGAACCUGAAACCGUGUGCUUACAAGUAGUCAGAGCCCGUUAAUGGGUGAUGGCGUGCCUUUUGUAGAAUGAACCGGCGAGUUACGAUUUGAUGCAAGGUUAAGCAGUAAAUGUGGAGCCGUAGCGAAAGCGAGUCUGAAUAGGGCGUUUAGUAUUUGGUCGUAGACCCGAAACCAGGUGAUCUACCCUUGGUCAGGUUGAAGUUCAGGUAACACUGAAUGGAGGACCGAACCGACUUACGUUGAAAAGUGAGCGGAUGAACUGAGGGUAGCGGAGAAAUUCCAAUCGAACCUGGAGAUAGCUGGUUCUCUCCGAAAUAGCUUUAGGGCUAGCCUCAAGUGAUGAUUAUUGGAGGUAGAGCACUGUUUGGACGAGGGGCCCCUCUCGGGUUACCGAAUUCAGACAAACUCCGAAUGCCAAUUAAUUUAACUUGGGAGUCAGAACAUGGGUGAUAAGGUCCGUGUUCGAAAGGGAAACAGCCCAGACCACCAGCUAAGGUCCCAAAAUAUAUGUUAAGUGGUAAAGGAUGUGGCGUUGCCCAGACAACUAGGAUGUUGGCUUAGAAGCAGCCAUCAUUUAAAGAGUGCGUAAUAGCUCACUAGUCGAGUGACACUGCGCCGAAAAUGUACCGGGGCUAAACAUAUUACCGAAGCUGUGGAUUGUCCUUUGGACAAUGGUAGGAGAGCGUUCUAAGGGCGUUGAAGCAUGAUCGUAAGGACAUGUGGAGCGCUUAGAAGUGAGAAUGCCGGUGUGAGUAGCGAAAGACGGGUGAGAAUCCCGUCCACCGAUUGACUAAGGUUUCCAGAGGAAGGCUCGUCCGCUCUGGGUUAGUCGGGUCCUAAGCUGAGGCCGACAGGCGUAGGCGAUGGAUAACAGGUUGAUAUUCCUGUACCACCUAUAAUCGUUUUAAUCGAUGGGGGGACGCAGUAGGAUAGGCGAAGCGUGCGAUUGGAUUGCACGUCUAAGCAGUAAGGCUGAGUAUUAGGCAAAUCCGGUACUCGUUAAGGCUGAGCUGUGAUGGGGAGAAGACAUUGAGUCUUCGAGUCGUUGAUUUCACACUGCCGAGAAAAGCCUCUAGAUAGAAAAUAGGUGCCCGUACCGCAAACCGACACAGGUAGUCAAGAUGAGAAUUCUAAGGUGAGCGAGCGAACUCUCGUUAAGGAACUCGGCAAAAUGACCCCGUAACUUCGGGAGAAGGGGUGCUCUUUAGGGUUAACGCCCAGAAGAGCCGCAGUGAAUAGGCCCAAGCGACUGUUUAUCAAAAACACAGGUCUCUGCUAAACCGUAAGGUGAUGUAUAGGGGCUGACGCCUGCCCGGUGCUGGAAGGUUAAGAGGAGUGGUUAGCUUCUGCGAAGCUACGAAUCGAAGCCCCAGUAAACGGCGGCCGUAACUAUAACGGUCCUAAGGUAGCGAAAUUCCUUGUCGGGUAAGUUCCGACCCGCACGAAAGGCGUAACGAUUUGGGCACUGUCUCAACGAGAGACUCGGUGAAAUCAUAGUACCUGUGAAGAUGCAGGNAACAGCCCAGACCACCAGCUAAGGUCCCAAAAUAUAUGUUAAGUGGAAAAGGAUGUGGCGUUGCCCAGACAACUAGGAUGUUGGCUUAGAAGCAGCCAUCAUUUAAAGAGUGCGUAAUAGCUCACUAGUCGAGUGACACUGCGCCGAAAAUGUACCGGGGCUAAACAUAUUACCGAAGCUGUGGAUUGUCCUUUGGACAAUGGUAGGAGAGCGUUCUAAGGGCGUUGAAGCAUGAUCGUAAGGACAUGUGGAGCGCUUAGAAGUGAGAAUGCCGGUGUGAGUAGCGAAAGACGGGUGAGAAUCCCGUCCACCGAUUGACUAAGGUUUCCAGAGGAAGGCUCGUCCGCUCUGGGUUAGUCGGGUCCUAAGCUGAGGCCGACAGGCGUAGGCGAUGGAUAACAGGUUGAUAUUCCUGUACCACCUAUAAUCGUUUUAAUCGAUGGGGGGACGCAGUAGGAUAGGCGAAGCGUGCGAUUGGAUUGCACGUCUAAGCAGUAAGGCUGAGUAUUAGGCAAAUCCGGUACUCGUUAAGGCUGAGCUGUGAUGGGGAGAAGACAUUGUGUCUUCGAGUCGUUGAUUUCACACUGCCGAGAAAAGCCUCUAGAUAGAAAAUAGGUGCCCGUACCGCAAACCGACACAGGUAGUCAAGAUGAGAAUUCUAAGGUGAGCGAGCGAACUCUCGUUAAGGAACUCGGCAAAAUGACCCCGUAACUUCGGGAGAAGGGGUGCUCUUUAGGGUUAACGCCCAGAAGAGCCGCAGUGAAUAGGCCCAAGCGACUGUUUAUCAAAAACACAGGUCUCUGCUAAACCGUAAGGUGAUGUAUAGGGGCUGACGCCUGCCCGGUGCUGGAAGGUUAAGAGGAGUGGUUAGCUUCUGCGAAGCUACGAAUCGAAGCCCCAGUAAACGGCGGCCGUAACUAUAACGGUCCUAAGGUAGCGAAAUUCCUUGUCGGGUAAGUUCCGACCCGCACGAAAGGCGUAACGAUUUGGGCACUGUCUCAACGAGAGACUCGGUGAAAUCAUAGUACCUGUGAAGAUGCAGGUUACCCGCGACAGGACGGAAAGACCCCGUGGAGCUUUACUGUAGCCUGAUAUUGAAAUUCGGCACAGCUUGUACAGGAUAGGUAGGAGCCUUUGAAACGUGAGCGCUAGCUUACGUGGAGGCGCUGGUGGGAUACUACCCUAGCUGUGUUGGCUUUCUAACCCGCACCACUUAUCGUGGUGGGAGACAGUGUCAGGCGGGCAGUUUGACUGGGGCGGUCGCCUCCUAAAAGGUAACGGAGGCGCUCAAAGGUUCCCUCAGAAUGGUUGGAAAUCAUUCAUAGAGUGUAAAGGCAUAAGGGAGCUUGACUGCGAGACCUACAAGUCGAGCAGGGUCGAAAGACGGACUUAGUGAUCCGGUGGUUCCGCAUGGAAGGGCCAUCGCUCAACGGAUAAAAGCUACCCCGGGGAUAACAGGCUUAUCUCCCCCAAGAGUUCACAUCGACGGGGAGGUUUGGCACCUCGAUGUCGGCUCAUCGCAUCCUGGGGCUGUAGUCGGUCCCAAGGGUUGGGCUGUUCGCCCAUUAAAGCGGUACGCGAGCUGGGUUCAGAACGUCGUGAGACAGUUCGGUCCCUAUCCGUCGUGGGCGUAGGAAAUUUGAGAGGAGCUGUCCUUAGUACGAGAGGACCGGGAUGGACAUACCUCUGGUGUACCAGUUGUCGUGCCAACGGCAUAGCUGGGUAGCUAUGUGUGGACGGGAUAAGUGCUGAAAGCAUCUAAGCAUGAAGCCCCCCUCAAGAUGAGAUUUCCCAACUUCGGUUAUAAGAUCCCUCAAAGAUGAUGAGGUUAAUAGGUUCGAGGUGGAAGCAUGGUGACAUGUGGAGCUGACGAAUACUAAUCGAUCGAAGACUUAAUCAA
rnacentral:rRNA from 1 species